UUAAUUACACUUUUAAGCUCUGCACCUAGAUUGUACACUAAUUGUCUCUCUCUCUAUUUACCAGCAGUCAAUAUUGGAAACUGGUAAUACCAACAGCCAGGAAGAAAAAACACUGGCAGAGGACCUGAGCAAUACCAUCAGCCAGGUGGAGCUCGAGGAGAGCGAUGAGUACAACUGUCAGCAUGAAAAUGAUGAGUCCUCAUCUGAAACUGGCAACAACAUUGGCCAGUAAUGCCCAGAGGAAGAUUAUCUGGGCAGUGACCUCCGGGAGGAAAAGGCUGAAGAGAUUGUUGAGGUAUGGCAAGAAGAAGAAAUAAAAGAAACGACCAUAGAAAACGAUGGAAAGGAGGGAUGGCAACAAGUGCAAAUAAGAAAAGUGGUCAUAGAAGUCAUCAAUGACCAGGGGGAGAAAGAACUACACAUCAUUGAACACCGGGAGAUUCUCCAAAUGGUUAAAGUUCAAAUCAAUGCUGACUACUGUUAUGAGGCAUUUCAUUACCAUUCCUCUGAAAGCAACAUGCCAUAUGAUGAGCAAUGGGAGUCAUCAUCAGUUUUAGAUGAUGACUGAACAGUGACAUCAGCCAGAACGAGAACCUGGAAGACAAAUAUCUGGUAAGUUACCUCACUGAUGAAGAGUAUGAGAAGAGUUUUGAGGUUUGAGCUUAAAUAAUUUUAAACCAUUUUAAACCUAUUUUGGCCCCAAUACAGGUCCCCUAUCAAAUCACACAGACUACUCUGUAGGCCCCAUUCCCCUCCCCCAUACCCAAAUUCGAAUUCACAGGUGAUCAAAAUAAAAGCAUAAUUCCAUCCCUUAUUUAUGAUCAUGUGCAAUUGCAGCAGAUUCAACUUGGAGUGCCGCCACAAUUAAUUUAGAAUUAUGAGAAAAAUGCUGCUUUUAAACACAUGGCAAAUAUUUGUUCCUGAUCUUUGUAUUUUUUUUACCAACUCAGCAUCACAUUGAGCUACAUAAUAUUAAUUUAAACAGCAUAUUUAAAGGAAGCUAAAAGGAUGUGAUAAGCUCACGGGCGCCAUGUCCUCUCUUUGUGAAUUGAGCGGGGUAAUGGCGCAUGUGCAUUUGGAGCAAUCUUCCGGUUCGUGACAACUGCGCAUGCGCCGAAAGAGGCAGAAAUUGCCGAAUGGGAGGAAGAAGAUCCAAAGAUUAUCAAAGAGUAGAAGACGGCACCCGUGAGCUCCGCUGUGCAGUCACUAUUUCAAGAGGGGACAGAAUUCUGGGGUAAGACUGUGUAGGGGGAGGCAGGGAGCAGGGCCAACAGUGGGAGAGAGUGGGGACUUAACAUCAUGGGGGGGGGGUUAGUUCUCCUUUAAGAAUUUCAACUAGAUAGAUGAUUCACAGAUUGUUUCUAUUUACCAGGCAUCAUCAGCUGGCAUCAACAUCAGCCAGUAGGAGUACCCAGAAGAAAAUAUCUGGGUAAUAACUUCAGUGAUAAAGAGAAUGGGGAAUUUGAGAUUUGAACUACCCCAGGAUUUGGUUACUGGAAGUGUCCCCAAUGGCCCUUUCUCCUAACUACACAACCCUGACCUCCCCUUUAAUAACGAGACACAGGACACUGUAAUUGUCAG